AAUGCGGGACCCACUGAGACAAGGACAGAGCUUUGUCAUACCAUACAGACACAGUACAAGUGGCCUGUGCAAGAAGCUGGGGAUCUACUACAGGCAAUAUUGGAUCCCAAGUGGGUAUGGUUCACCGAUGGAUCUAGUUCUUACAGGGAGAGUCAACUGGUUUGUGUAGUAGCAACUGUUUGUUUCCAAAACAGGAACUCGAAAUCCCAUGUGAAAGGAUGUCAAUCCAGGGAUGUGAAGUGGCAGCAGUCAAGCUAGCAUUUGAAGCAACUCCCUUGGACUGUGAUGUGGUCAUAUGCUCUGAUUCUCAAUGGACUGUGCAAGAAGUAAGCAUAUGGGUACCCAUAUGGAACAGCGGGAAGGCAAAGAAGUUGUAUACUGGGAUUACUGGAAAACUAUUAUUGAUAUUAUUCGGAAAAGGAUUGGUUCCACAGAAAUCAAGCAUGUUAAGGCUCAUGCUAAACAACAUACUCUGGAAGGAUACUACAGUGCUAAAGUGGAUAAAAUGGCUAAAGCAGCAGCUGCAACAGCUGUGGUUCACAGUGACAUCAAAGUGGUAAUUCAAUCUCAAAUGAAAAAUGAAGCAAAUCCAGGAAAACUGCAAACAAACACUGAUACAGCUGAUCAAAAAUUUCUGGAACACCACAAAGCAUUCAUACAGUAUGAAGAACAGGAAUAGAAACUAGUGGGACAAAGUAUAACAGGAGUAGAAGGAGAAUGGGAAAUAACAAAUGAUCAUAGCAAAACAAGGAGAUCAAGAAAGAUGGGUACCUCCAGAACAAUAUAGAGAAGAAAUAAUCCGAUUUGUCCAUGAAUGAGGACAUAAACAAGGGCUAAAAGAACAUUAGCGCCAAGUAAAAAAAGGUAAUGUGGUGGCCAGGAAUGGACAAGCAUAUGACCACAUUUUGUCAACAAUGCUUGGUGUGUGCCCAAGUUAACCCUAAAAGCAGGAAAGCAAAAAUACUGAGACACCAACCUGACACUAGGGGCUUGUGGCAAAGAUUACAAAUGGAUUACAUUGGACCUUUGCAAAGAACUCCUACAAAGAAAACCUUUUGCUUGGUGGUCAUAGAUGAUUUUUCAGGAUGGGUGGAAGAAAUCCCCACAACAGAUAACACAACUCAAACUACACCUCAGGCUUUAUGGACCCAAAUACUAAGCAGAUGGGGUAUACCCUUGGUCAUGAAUAGUUACCAAGAACCUUACUUCGUGGGAGCAGUGGUAAAAGCAUUACGAUUAAUGAUGGGCAUCAAACAGAAAUGGCAUAUAGUCUACCACCCACAGAGUGCAGGAAAAAUGGAAAGGAAUAGAGAAAUAAAAGCCGCCUUGACCAAGCAAAUUCAAACACAAGGUUGAGAUUGGGAAACUGCUUUAACCUGCACUCCUGAUAACCAUGAGAGCUUUGGGACAGCUGGAAGUACGUACUCACCUUUUGAGUUAAUGACAGGUCCAACUAUGAGGACUCCUGAAUUCCUACUCCCACCUAGAAAACAGAUAACUGAACGGGUACAGAAGGAAGUUUGGAUAGCAGAUUUGGUACAAACAAUUGAAGAAAUUUGGGCACAAGAAAAUCAGCGAAGACAAAGGGAAGAACAAAGGACCAUCUAGGUAUCAAUAGAAGAUAGGGGACAAAGUGAUUCUCAAAGAAUUGACUGAUCCAUGGAAGCAAGGAAUAUCCUGUGGAACCUGUUUUGCUUUGUCAUCUGUGGGCUCAUCUGUCAUGUGGUUACUGGAUCGCCAUCCAUCUGUCCCACAGGAGAGGCGACCAAAGAUUGUGAUCAAACAAUUCCAACAGCAAUGAGGGCUUAUACCAAGGAUAUGCACUGAUUUCCUCUUUUGAAUUGGGGGUACUAAUUUUGAAUGGGUAAAGGAAUGAGAAAUAGAGGUGAUCUAAAGCAAAGGAAAGAUGUAUGGCUUGGGACUGGAAUGUCACAAAACUAUGGAGUAGAGGUCCUGUAUGGUGGACCUACCCCCGACCAGGAAGAAGUUCUUGUGAAGAUGGUCUCCAACUUAUUUGGAGUUGCAUGGAAAAAUUUGAAGCAGUAUUUGUAGAACCAGUGGAGUUUCUGUACAGGAGGAUAGAACGGGGAUUUCGUUAUGAGCGUCCAUUCACCUUAUUUCCACUUUUUAUAGGAUGCAGACCUAUAACAGCAUCUCCGCCAACUGAAAAAGCAGGAGGGGAAAUUCAGAAACGGUCCCUAACUGCUGAGGAUAAUAUAGAUUUAGGCACAGUUCCAACUGGCACGAACCUUACGAUGAAUAACGGUUCAGAGCCAUCGUCUGUAGUACUGUCCAAAGAUUAUGUUUCAACAAGGCUUAUCUCCCCAGAAUUAAAGGAAAAGGAGCUGGGAAAAAUGAGGACACAGAACUUUUUAUCCAGGCAGCUGAUUCCUUGGUUCAGAGAUUGGAAAGAGUGGUCAGACCUGGUAAAGAUUAGGAUGAGGAAGACCGGGAUGUGGGAGGUGGAGAAGUUUGGCACUGUGUGGUAACAGAAUCUGUUAAUCCUUUCGGGGCCAAAAAAGACACCCAAGGAAUAUGGACCUUUCAUGAAAGAAAAAGAGCAUGUGUUUCUGUGUGGACACAAGGGUUAAACUCUAAAAUAUUGACAAAAGGCUGGCAAGGAACCUUUGGGAAAAAAAACAACACACUUUGGUAGUUGAAUGAGCAUAUGAUCCAGAUGGUAAAGGAUGUGUGUGGACCUAGAGUGUAACUAAUUGUACACAUAUUCAGGAAUUCACUAAUCCCGAAUUAUUGAUACUAGAACUGGGGAACUAUGGAAACCAGAUGUACCCCAAGAAAAGGUCCUUGUAACCAAAGCACCCCAAGAAUGUAUAACUCAAGGAGCUUGGCUUGAAAAUGGGACUGAGGUUCCCCCCAUAGAUAUAGGAACAACUGUGAAACUAUAACAUCACUGAAAAUAUGGACAUAUGUCAAUGGGAAUGUAAUUAGUGUACCCAGACCAUGUGUUCAUCAGGGCAUUGUGCUGAAUCUGUGUUUGAAUGGGAAUUAGGAAAUGAAUGGAUAAUGGUAAAGGGACAUUGCCAUAACACCCAAGUUGAGAGAUGGGUAGUAUCUAGAUGUAAAUGUCCUGAAGAACAUCAAUGUGCUUUAAGAUGCCAUACCUCAUAUACAGGGAAUAUACAACACAGGGAAGGUAAAACAUGGGUUAAUAUCACCAAAGUGACCCAGGAACAUCCUAAUGUAACCAAUUGUUCCCCUGAAUGCAUGGAAUGGUUAAUUCCAGACCGUGACCGCAGGCACAGAUACAUAUAUAAUGGGUCCAGAUUUAAAGUUUUUAUAAACUUAUUUCCUGAAGAUUGGAUGAUUGACACUAAUUAUCCUGACUGUUCUAAAUGGAUUGCACAAUAUAAAACAUAUUGGAUCUGGGACGUGGAAAGAAGAGGAAUGGUUGAGAGAUACCAUAUGGGAAACACUAAACACUGGAAUGGGAUUGGGAAACACAUGGAGCCUCUCUACCCUAAUGGAAAGAAAGAGAGAGACUUUAAAGCAACUGAUGCAGUCAGUACACACCGGGAAACAAGGGGAAACAAAAGAUGGGAUAUUCUGUGAUGGAAUUGAGUGCAUUAUUGGGGGAAAGUAUUCUGGAUAUCGUUAAACAAAUAAGGGAUAACUGCUCAGGAUUAUCCUGGGGAGAAGUUUGUAUAGAAGCCCAGGGAAGCUUGGGAGAACAAUGGAAAGAUAUCUUGGAACAGAGCCAAAAAGGAACUUGGCCCCAGACUCUUAACUGGGCAUUGAGUUACUACUCUUAUAUUAAUCAAUCAUUCCAGGAUACCUGGAAGGUGUAAGUGCAUACAUAUACCAUACGCCAGUGCACUCUUGUCCUUUCCGGUAUACCCAAUGGAAAGGCACAGGAAGUGUAUCCGGUAAUAUUUGCCAGCACCUGGGAAAAUGAAACAGGGUACUAUGAAAUAGUACCAGAAGGAAAUGGAUUAUGGUGGAUAUCUGGGUUAGGAGAGAAGCAAAUAUUAGGAGCCCAAUUGGAAUGGGGUACCUUGGUUAAAGAAGGAAACUGGAAUUUGGAAUGGAAAGGAGGUAAUCUCACCACGAAUUUACAGUGGAAAAAUGGUUGGUGGGAAUUAUAUGAAAUAAACACAGAUAGAUGUUGGCAU